rnacentral:rRNA from 1 species
GGUCCGAACCCACGAGCGUUGAAAAGCUCGGGGAUGACUUGUGGGUAGCGGUGAAAUUCCAAUCGAGCCCGGAGAUAGCUGGUUCUCCCCGAAAUAGCUUUAGGGCUAGCCUCAAGGUGAGAGAUACGGAGGUAGAGCACUGAAUGUCCUAGGGGGUAUUGCACCUACCGAAGACUAUCAAACUCCGAAUGCCGUCAUCUUAUACUUGGGAGUCAGACUGUGGGUGAUAAGAUUCAUAGUCGAAAGGGCAACAGCCCAGAUCGUCAGCUAAGGUCCCUAAAUGUAAGUUAAGUGGUAAAGGAUGUGGGAUUGCACAGACAACCAGGAUGUUGGCUUAGAAGCAGCCACUCAUUCAAAGAGUGCGUAAUAGCUCACUGGUCGAGUGAUCCUGCGCCGAAGAUUUCCGGGGCUAAAACUUACUACCGAAGCUACGGCAUCAGUAAUGAUGGGUAGGGGAGCUUCCCAUACGGGUUGAAGCAUGACCGUAAGGACAUGUGGACAGUAAGGGAGUGAGAAUGUUGGCAUGAGUAGCGAGAUGUGGGUGAGAAUCCCACAGGCCGUAAACCCAAGGUUGCCAGGGGAAGGUUCGUCCGCCCUGGGUUAGUCGGGACCUAAGCUGAGGCCGAAAGGCGUAGGUGAUGGACAACAGGUUGAUAUUCCUGUACUACCGAUAACCGUUUGAGAGA